AUUCUACUCCCUCCGUUGCACAAUACAUGCCUUCUAUUUGUAAAAAUAUAUAUGUAUCUAGACAUGUUUUAGUAUAUAGGUACAUACAUUUUUGGACAAAUGGAAGUCAAGUAUUUUGGAAUGGAGGGAGUACACA
rnacentral:pre_miRNA from 1 species